GUAUGAUGAUGAGUGUGGAGCGGACAGAUGGAAAGCUUGCUCCCUGAUGUUAGCGGCGGACGGGUGAGUAACACGUGGGUAACCUGCCUGUAAGACUGGGAUAACUCCGGGAAACCGGGGCUAAUACCGGAUGCUUGAUUGAACCGCAUGGUUCAAUUAUAAAAGGUGGCUUUUAGCUACCACUUACAGAUGGACCCGCGGCGCAUUAGCUAGUUGGUGAGGUAACGGCUCACCAAGGCAACGAUGCGUAGCCGACCUGAGAGGGUGAUCGGCCACACUGGGACUGAGACACGGCCCAGACUCCUACGGGAGGCAGCAGUAGGGAAUCUUCCGCAAUGGACGAAAGUCUGACGGAGCAACGCCGCGUGAGUGAUGAAGGUUUUCGGAUCGUAAAACUCUGUUGUUAGGGAAGAACAAGUACCGUUCGAAUAGGGCGGUACCUUGACGGUACCUAACCAGAAAGCCACGGCUAACUACGUGCCAGCAGCCGCGGUAAUACGUAGGUGGCAAGCGUUGUCCGGAAUUAUUGGGCGUAAAGCGCGCGCAGGCGGUUUCUUAAGUCUGAUGUGAAAGCCCCCGGCUCAACCGGGGAGGGUCAUUGGAAACUGGGGAACUUGAGUGCAGAAGAGGAGAGUGGAAUUCCACGUGUAGCGGUGAAAUGCGUAGAGAUGUGGAGGAACACCAGUGGCGAAGGCGACUCUCUGGUCUGUAACUGACGCUGAGGCGCGAAAGCGUGGGGAGCGAACAGGAUUAGAUACCCUGGUAGUCCACGCCGUAAACGAUGAGUGCUAAGUGUUAGAGGGUUUCCGCCCUUUAGUGCUGCAGCAAACGCAUUAAGCACUCCGCCUGGGGAGUACGGUCGCAAGACUGAAACUCAAAGGAAUUGACGGGGGCCCGCACAAGCGGUGGAACAUGUGGUUUAAUUCGAAGCAACGCGAAGAACCUUACCAGGUCUUGACAUCCUCUGACAACCCUAGAAAUAGGGCUUCCCCUUCGGGGGAAAAUGA
rnacentral:rRNA from 1 species